CCGCCCGCGUCUGUGCUGGAGAGGCGUGGGAGCGGCGUGGGAGCGGCGUGGGUGCGCCCCUCGCGUCCUGGUGUGAAGGAGCGGUGGCCCCACGGGUGAAUAGUACAGAAGAGGAAGCUGCCAUCUUGUCCUGGAGCGGCAACAUUCUCAACAGAGGGUCGCCCCGUGAGACUUACUGAGACAGAGCAGUGGGAGUAGCCUAGGGAUCAUGGCAGCAAACCAGCCUGUCCAGAGCCGCGUCUUCAGCUGUGCAGCCCGUGGGAG